rnacentral:lncRNA from 1 species
CUUCCAACUCAAACGAUUCUAUGAUUCUAUGAAAUACACUUCAAUGAGCUGCCUGGUUUUGUUGGAUAUGUCUUACAGAUGAAAGAAUUCACCAUCGCUAAAAGUCUCAGCAUGGUUUUCAACGGAGAUGUGAAAACUCUGAGCAUUUAGAGUGUGCAUCACCUAUGCUGGAAGAGCAGUUUUUUGCAUCAUGGAUGGGAAGUAAAAGCACCCAUUAGCAACU